UCGUGAUACAUCGGCUAUCUCGGAUUCCUCCGUAAGAUAGGCCUCGUGGCUAACGGUCGCCAUAUUGCCUUGUAUUACUACUUUACUACCCAAAAGGUUGUCAGUCUAUUGUUAUGAGGCUGUAUACGAUGCGCGUUGAACUAGCGCCAAACUUUUUACCGAAACUUUGAUAUAAAUAGCACUAUUAACGUUCAUUUGUGUUGCAUUUUGACCUAUUAUCCAAGUGAUUUACUUUUCCAUUAUUAUUUAAUCACCCUAUCAUCAAAUUUUUAAGAUGAAAUUACGGUGUUUACAAAACCAACCAAACCGAAAGUGAAACUGGAUGCAUUACGUUUCGCGAUGUAAACAUUAAAUAUUUGUUCAGUUUGAGGAAGCGAAUCAAUAAUAGACGUUGGAAUAUGUAUGCAAUACAGACUAUCAUUGCCGAUUGUAGUACUGGCUAAAAAAUACCUUUUAUGACAGGUAUACUGGAUUAUGAAAGACUGAUAAACAUAAAAUUGACAACUCACCCCUCAACGAUACUUUGUGUGGCUCAUUCUCGGAACAAACCCAUAGUCAGUGAGAAAACUACAGUGUAAAAACCCCACUUGAUUGUGACAAUUAUGGCUGACCAAGCAAAUGUUAUCAUUUAAAAUAAAGAAAACUUCCAGUUCAAUAUACAUUUUAUACCAAUUAUGACAUUGACCAACACAGAAAAUAAUUAUAAGGUUGAUUUUCUCAAAAUUGACUGUUACAAUUGGAUACUGUUUUAAGCUUCACUCUACUUUGUCUGAAAAUAAAAGUCCUAAAUGAUGUAAUAGAAACAUACAUAUUUAAUUUUUAGUUUUACAAGGAUAUAUAUAUAUACAUAUAUUAUAAUAUCUUUUUAUCGAUGGUCAAUCAAUUUAAGUUUAACUAAUAUAUACAUACACAUUUUAUACAUGUGUAUGCUUUGAUUUUUUUCUAUUGAAGCCAAAUUUAUAUCCUAUUAGAUAGAUAGAUAAUAUCACAGCAGUAUUCCUAGUUUGUCUGCAAGUACUGCAGAAAUCAUGGAUUAUUAUUUUACUGAGUCAGCCUUAAUCUUUAUAUUAUAAUUGUUAAAACAGAUUAAGAUGUGCAUUAUACAAUUGAGGAUGCAUCAAGAUUAAAAAAUGGUACAUGUAUAAAUUAAUAAAGAAUCAAUAACAAUCAGAAACUGUGCAUUUUUUUCAGUAUUGUGUGAAAGGAUUUGAAGUAAUUAUGUGUUUUUGAAAUAUGAUUUAUGUGAAUUUGAAUAAAUAUAUAAAAUUUA